GUGGGGAAUAUUGCACAAUGGGCGCAAGCCUGAUGCAGCGACGCCGCGUGGGGGAUGAAGGCCUUCGGGUUGUAAACUCCUUUCAACCAUGACGAAGCAUUAUGUGACGGUAGUGGUAGAAGAAGCACCGGCUAACUACGUGCCAGCAGCCGCGGUAAUACGUAGGGUGCGAGCGUUGUCCGGAAUUACUGGGCGUAAAGAGCUCGUAGGUGGUUUGUCGCGUCGUCUGUGAAAUUCCGGGGCUUAACUCCGGGCGUGCAGGCGAUACGGGCAUAACUUGAGUGCUGUAGGGGAGACUGGAAUUCCUGGUGUAGCGGUGAAAUGCGCAGAUAUCAGGAGGAACACCAAUGGCGAAGGCAGGUCUCUGGGCAGUAACUGACGCUGAGGAGCGAAAGCAUGGGUAGCGAACAGGAUUAGAUACCCUAGUAGUCC
rnacentral:rRNA from 1 species